GUAUUUUCACUCCAUGCAUCUGAUGAAGUGGGUUCUAACCCAUGAAACCUUAUGCCCAAAUAAAUUUGUUAGUCUCUAAGGUGCCACAAGGACUCCUCGUUAUUCCCUAGGAGGUGAUUAGAAGAUCACACAGACAUAAAAGCUACCCAGUGAAGUGACUAUAUGUAUGCUGUGUAUUCUCAGAACUUAUUGUUGACAUUUAACUCAGGAGUGGUACACUGAAGAGUAACACUCUCUUUUAUUUUUUCUAUUCAAUGAACAGUAAAGAUAAAAAGCAGGAAGUGACAACCCAGCUGAUCUGAAAACAAGUAACACUCAGGGCCCAUAUAUAGCACUUUCCUCCUCCAAUGUUCUUGCAAACAUUAACUAUGGUACUCAGACACAAUGUUUGAAAAGUGGUCAUGAAUUCUGGCUGCCUCAUUUUUUGGAUAUUGAAGAUGUCUCAAAUUGCGCGCUCAGAAAUGAAGGUAUCCAAGAUCAGUGAUCCUUUUUGAAAAUUUGGGCUUUAAUGUCCAGGCUCCAUGUCAGUCUAGCAGAAGAAAGAGCUGGGAGGUUCUGAAUAGCCAUGCUGAGUGGUAUUGAAAAGUUUUCCCUAUUUCAAGUAGCCUCUGGCACAGAUAUGCAUAGGGAUUCACCACAUGUUUGAAAAAUACUGAAAUUUGUCCUGAUCAUUUUCUUAAUUGUUCCUAGCCUUUUCAAUAUGGGUGUGCAGGUGAUAGGAUUUUUCUGGAGAUUUACAUUAUCUCAUUGUUUUGCCAGUUUCUUUACCACAUCCUGAUGUUCUUGGUUGAUAUUCUGUUUCAUUAGAUGGAAUUAUGAAGUUGGGCAGAUUGAGAGUGUGGCCUCUAGUACUUUGCUUGUUUGUGAGAAUAUUUUCCAAGAAAUCUAUAGGCCAGAUUCCCCUUGAAGAGGAAAUUCUUCACUGACAUAAAGCUGGUGGAGGCAGCUCAUGCAUCAGCCAGCUCUUGCCAGGAGGAGGAAUGGGGGAAGGAGAAGAAGCGUGCUGAAGAUCCACUCUUUUAUGCCAGUCCUCCACUGACAUAAGUUCCCUUAGGAAUCUUUGGUCCAAGCAGAUGACUCCCUCACCUGCUCUGGUGCAAUGAGCAGAGCAAGGAUCCAAGGGAGAACUGAGCUCAAUAGUCAUGGAGUGGAAGUAGGCCUCAGAAAAUACCUUGGGUUACUACUGUAUUUUAAAAUUCUGGCAUGAUAUGAAUCCAGAGCUCAUCAAUUUGAGGAUAGGCUGAGGUCUAAAUUGAUGUUACAACUCUUGCAGCAGCUUGACUGCAGUGAAAUAACUUUCAAAUAUGUCAGAGCAUGACAUGUAAUCAAUAUGGUAGCUGCACGUCUCCUGGUGACACUGCUUGGUGGAGCUGGAUAGUGCAGCAUUUAGUAAACUAGAAUAUUGCCUAAUGAUCUGCAACCACCUCUGUGGAAAUAGAGGUCUGGCCCACAUAUCUGUGAUGAAAUAAGCAGCAGUGCCAGCUCUGUUAGUUUUUGCUGCUUGAAAACCAGGUAAUAAUUUCCACCUCACAGAGCUUGCAGUCUCCAUAGGCAACAUGCAUUGAGGUGAUUGAGCAGUCACUAAACAUUCUGAAGCCCUGGCUGACCACUGGUUUACAUCCCAAGUCCAUUGCACCGUGCUUGUACUGUAGAACAAGAUAUCUUUAGCUUGCUUAAGAUCAUACAUUAUUCUUCUCUGCAAGGCUGUAUAGAAGUAUCUAUACAUUUCAUGGGAAGAGAUCAGCCCGCACAGGAAUUCUACACUACUUUUAGAGGCAUAAUUCAUGGAGUCCUUGCUCUUUGAUGCUGCCAUUAUUUGUUUGGAGCAGGCAUGUGCAUUCCUUCUGCAGAAGUUUCUGGUAGUUCUCAUUGCAGUGGCUCUUUGGACAUGAUAAAGAAAAAAAACGGUCUUCGGAUACCUCACUCAAGAGAUUGGGGCCCCACCAGAGAGGGGAAAAUAGGAAAAGAAACAGGAACUUCUUUGUGAAAGAAAAUCGCCACAGAACUGAGAGAAGAAGUGAAAUUAAGGAAGUGUUAUCUUUUGCCUUACAAAAGAAGGUCCAUCUACAGAAGACAAACCAUUGUGGAACAUCAGAAGAGAAAAGGCUUUGUGGAUUGCUCCCUCUCCCCCACUCCGUGAAGAAGAGAUGUACACCUGAAUUCCGCCCAACAGCUGAAUUUACAACUAGAAGAAGAAUGGGAAAAGGAAUCAAAAGCCCUAACAACAAGGAACUGUAUCUUUUAUGUUGCUUGGAGUCUGAGGGGAAAGGAUUAUUGACAAAAGCAAAAGAGAAGCAAAAAAAUAGCCCGUGCUUACCCUGGGUUAGCCCUAAAGGACAUCUAGAGCUUGCUUGUUAUAGAAGCUUCUAUUGCCUUUUGAAACUUACGACUGUAACUUGUUUGCAUAUAUGCCUGCUUUAACCUAGUAAAGAAGAGUUAUUUCCUUUUCCUAGUUAAUAAAUCUUUAGAUAGUUUAUUAUA